AGUGGGGAAUAUUGCACAAUGGGCGCAAGCCUGAUGCAGCGACGCCGCGUGGGGGAUGACGGCCUUCGGGUUGUAAACCUCUUUCAGCACAGACGAAGCGUGAGUGACGGUAUGUGCAGAAGAAGCACCGGCCAACUACGUGCCAGCAGCCGCGGUAAUACGUAGGGUGCGAGCGUUGUCCGGAAUUACUGGGCGUAAAGAGCUUGUAGGUGGUUUGUCGCGUUGUUCGUGAAAUCUCACGGCUUAACUGUGAGCGUGCGGGCGAUACGGGCAGACUAGAGUACUGCAGGGGAGACUGGAAUUCCUGGUGUAGCGGUGGAAUGCGCAGAUAUCAGGAGGAACACCGGUGGCGAAGGCGGGUCUCUGGGCAGUAACUGACGCUGAGAAGCGAAAGCGUGGGGAGCGAACAGGAUUAGAUACCCUGGUAGUCCACGCCGUAAACGGUGGGUACUAGGUGUGGGUUUCCUUCCUUGGGAUCCGUGCCGUAGCUAACGCAUUAAGUACCCCGCCUGGGGAGUACGGCCGCAAGGCUAAAACUCAAAGGAAUUGACGGGGGCCCGCACAAGCGGCGGAGCAUGUGGAUUAAUUCGAUGCAACGCGAAGAACCUUACCUGGGCUUGACAUGCACAGGACGCCGGCAGAGAUGUCGGUUCCCUUGUGGCCUGUGUGCAGGUGGUGCAUGGCUGUCGUCAGCUCGUGUCGUGAGAUGUUGGGUUAAGUCCCGCAACGAGCGCAACCCUUGUCUCAUGUUGCCAGCGGGUAAUGCCGGGGACUCGUGAGAGACUGCCGGGGUCAACUCGGAGGAAGGUGGGGAUGACGUCAAGUCAUCAUGCCCCUUAUGUCCAGGGCUUCACACAUGCUACAAUGGCCGGUACAAAGGGCUGCGAUGCCGUGAGGUGGAGCGAAUCCUUUCAAAGCCGGUCUCAGUUCGGAUCGGGGUCUGCAACUCGACCCCGUGAAGUCGGAGUCGCUAGUAAUCGCAGAUCAGCAAUGCUGCGGUGAAUACGUUCCCGGGCCUUGUACACACCGCCCGUCACGUCAUGAAAGUCGGUAACACCCGAAGCCGGUGGCCUAACCCCUCGUGGGAGGGAGCCGUCGAAGGUGGGAUCGGCGAUUGGGACG
rnacentral:rRNA from 1 species